GCGCCUAUAGCUCAGGGGACAGAGCGCCGGCCUCCGGAGCCGGGUGCGCAGGUUCGAAUCCUGCUAGGCGCACCA
rnacentral:tRNA from 2 species